GCAGUGUUAGUUCAAUGGUAGAAUUCUUGCCUUCCUUGCAGGAGACCUGGGUUUGGUUCCUGGCUAUUGCA
rnacentral:tRNA from 1 species